rnacentral:rRNA from 1 species
CCUGACCACUGAGUUUUAAAUGGCCGCAGUAUUAUGACUGUGCAAAGGUAGCAUAAUCAUUAGUUUUUUAAUUAAAAGCUUGUAUGAAAGGUUGGACGAGAUAAAUUCUGUCUCUAUUUAAUUUAAAUUAGAAUUUAAUUUUUAAGUUAAAAAGCUUAAAUAAAUUUAAAAGACGAGAAGACCCUAUAGAUCUUUAUAGUUUAUUAAUUAAUUUUAAUUAAGAUUUUUUUAAACAUUAGUUUUAUAGAUUAUUUUAUUGGGGUAAUAAAAAGAUUUAAAUAAUUCUUUUUUUUUAUUUACAUUAAUUUAUGAAUUUUGGAUCCAGUUUUAUUGAUUAUAAGAUUAAGUUACCUUAGGGAUAACAGCGUAAUUUUUUUAGAGAGUUCAUAUCGAUAAAAAAGUUUGCGACCUCGAUGUUGGAUUAAAA